rnacentral:rRNA from 1 species
AUCACGUGAGAAACCUGCCCCGAAGACCGGGAUAGCCCGGGGAAACCCGGAUUAAUACCGGAUAUUCUCUACAGAUCGCAUGGUCUGCUGAGGAAAUGCCUUUGUGCUUCGGGAUGGUCUCGCGACCUAUCAGCUAGUUGGUGAGGUAAUGGCUCACCAAGGCAACGACGGGUAGCUGGUCUGAGAGGACGAUCAGCCACACUGGGACUGAGACACGGCCCAG